rnacentral:tRNA from 1 species
GCGUGGGUGGCUCAGCUGGUUGAGCAUCUGACUUUGGCUCAGGUUAUGAUCUCACGGUUCAUGGGUUCAAGCCCCACAUCAGGCU